UACAGAGGGUGCAAGCGUUAAUCGGACUUAUUGGGCGUAAAGGGUGUGUAGGUGGUUGCGUAAGUUAGAUGUGAAAUCCCCGGGCUUAACCUGGGAACUGCGUUUAAAACUACGAAGCUAGAGUAUUGCAGAGGAUAGUGGAAUUUCCAGUGUAGCGGUGAAAUGCGUAGAGAUGGGAAGGAACAACAGUGGCGAAGGCGACUAUCUGGGCAAAUACUGACACUGAGACACGAAAGCGUGGGGAGCAAACAGG
rnacentral:rRNA from 1 species